UAUAUAUAUAUAUUAUGGAUCCUAAGAACUUUUUCACAACACCAUUUCUCGGUUGCAAUUGAACAAAAUACAGAAGAGGGUUUCAGAAAUAUAAUAGACGAACCGUUUCCAGGAUUACAUUUGAUAUGCUUAAUCCACAAUUUUGUGAAAAGAUGAUACGUGAGACGGGCCGAUGAUCUCAAAAUCAAAACCACGCGACCAAAUAUAUUGCAUGAACAUGGCGUUGUUCUUCAUGAUCUUGGCCUGGAACCCAUGCUUCACAGAUUUAGGGAAGAAUACAUAGAGCCUACAUAACUCGAGUUUCCUACGGUGAAUCUGGUGGAUCAACGCUGGACUCUCACUAUGCUUUUGUUGUUGAUUAUGGACUCGCUAGGGAUGGAGAAGUUGACUUGCAUGUGGAUGACGCACAUAUAGGCUUGAAUAUUUGCUUGGGCUAUCAAUUUUCUGCGGACAACUGUUCUUCCGGGGUGUUCGAUGUGAUGAACAUUUAACUACUGGGUGUGAACUAGAGUUCGCGUCUUGGAAAGUGGAGGCGUUUCCAGAAUGAUUGUAGUGGCUGGUGUGGAGAAUGCAAACGUAAGAAGAAUGAAGAGGCCUCUAAGCAUGCAGAUGCUAAUCGUUCUUGUACUGCACAGUUGAUUUGGUGCAUUCCUCAUUGAGCUCUGUAUGUAGUGUUAUCAUCUUUAUCUGAAAGUAACUCUACAACUAGAAAAAGGCAUUUAAUAUGCCUGCCAUGAAAAAGUUCACUCUUUACACUUGCCAGCCUACUUGACAACUUGACUGAGUACUGACAAACUAUGGUUAGUUGGGUUUUAU
rnacentral:sRNA from 1 species